GCUGGCGAUUAAAGGCACCCGCAAACUAUGUUCGAUUUUCUCCUAGCAGAUCUCAGCUAGGCGAAGCGACCGUCUGUUCUCUCAUACUCCCUAAAGACCUUUGCUUGAAAAAACAAUAUUACUAAAUCAAGUUCUUACUGAGGAGAUUUUAGUUGCACAAUUUUGCAGUAUUUCUCAAGUUUAAAAAAAUAGAUAGACAUUUCCACUUCACAAUAACAGCACUUACAGUUGACCGGGGCAGCUCUAGCAGGACAGACAUUUUACGAACUGACUUGUUGGAAAGGUGGCAUCCUAUGACAGUGCCAUGAUGAAUGUCACUGAGCUCUUCAGUAAGGCCAUUCUACUGCCAAUGUUUGUCUACGGAGAUUGAAUGGCUGUGUGUUCGAUUGGGGUGAAAUAGCCAAAUCCACUAUUUGAAAUGGUGUCCAACAUACUUUUGUAUAUAUAGUGUAUUCGCAAACUUUAUCAACUGGGAAGCAUACGGUAAGCUUAAGCUUAAAUUGACUGUGUUAACUCUGAAGAUUGUGCAUGCAUCUAAGAAGGUGAGUUGUGGGGCCUACUGUUGUGGGUUUUAUGCUGCUAAAUGAUGCUUAGUUACUAAUAGCAGGCCUACUUAUAGCUAAUUUUCUACACGUGUAACUGUAUUGUAAUAGUAUUAUGUCAUCUUGCAGCUAAGGUUUGUGUAUAUUUUAGAUGGUGCAUAUUGUUUAUAUUGCCUUAGUGCCGGUAUCACCUUGAUUGCACAAGUGUUUUUGACUUUAGAUGCAUCAUAAACUUAGAUAGCUAACGUAAACUCACCCCAUUCCGUACAAAUGUGCGCAACCGCAACAUUCAAACGAGGCUACAAAGAAAACUAAUGGGACUGUAGUGACUGUGUUGACGUCAAAAUCGGGGGUGUGAACUAGGUUUCUAUUCAAGCGUUGAUCGACAUGGUAAUGGCUCUAUAGUAUUGGAGAAAGGUAAAAAAAAUCUUGACGUGUCAUGUCGUAACGUACAGCACGCAUAAAGCAACUAUUUCUGUCUUACAAUCUCACUCCACCAGGUGUAGCACUUCUAUCAUCCUUUAAAAACAAGAAAUGGACAGUGACGGGGGUAAGGGGGGAUACCUAGCCAUUUUUUCCGUCAUCAUUGCAUGCGAUCAUCAUUCUCAAAGCCGCUGUUAACUUCUAAGAUCACUUUAGCACUGCCCUAAAAACCCGAUUCAAUUCGACACAAACCUUCAAAUAGGUAUGUAAUGACACAUUAUAUAAACUCUUUAUAGUGUUGUAUUUACAUUUUAGAGGCGAUAAGGUGAUAAGUUGGACAGAUCGAGUGAAAAAAGCAAUUUUCCCACACAACAUCUCUCCUUCUCACUAUCACGCAUUAGUUUCGCUUCCCCACCCGCCAUUUUUAAAAAGACCCGACGGGGCUCAUUGCCUGCUUAAAUUCUGCAGAACCGUCAGCGUUUAGGUCAUGUAAUUGAUUAUGUUGGAAAGGGGAGAAAUUGUGCAUUAGAAUGGUAUUGACAUUACAGUUGAUCUGGAAGCAUUACGUUUUUGGGGCACUAAAAUACGGGCAAUUGUACAGACGAUGUAUGAGUUUACGUGAGUUUACGUUAGCUAAGAUUGAGAGGAGACCACCGGAUUUUAACUGCUAGCCAUUUUUGACAAACUUUGCUAGCUAAUGAAAACAUUGCCAUCUGUCUACAACCUAUGAAUAGCAACAUUUGUUUAGCAUUUGUCUUUUUUGCCCAGCUCUCAGACUUUGUGUGUCUGCCUGCCUGCCAGCCUGUCUGUCUAUGAGUUCCAAGAAAUGUGGCUAGAGGUGUGGUGGCCACUGGAGGGCAACUUUACUGGAGCACAUGUAGGAGCUCGUUGUCAUUAAGUUAAUCUGUAACAGCUGAUACAAGUACGCAUCCCAUAUAAGGUACUACUACAGUACUAAUUCAUAUUUCAUUAAUGUACAUGGUCGACUUUGACCCAAGAGAACAAUCCAGACUAAGAAUUUGCAAAAGGUAAGAUCAUAAUGAAUACUAUUAUAUGGACAGCGUGGUCCGGAUCCUAGAUCAGCACUCCUACUCUGAUGGUGAAUUCUCUCUCUCCCUCAUCCUUCCUAUAAUUUCAGAUUGAACGCCUGGUCUAUGAUUAGUAGAUGUUGGAGAGGUGAGCGUGUAUCAUAUCCCCCUGCUGUUCUUCAUCCCUUGGUGCAGUCUGCUGACCAUCGCUGAGGCCAGGAAGAAGUCCGCUAGCCGAAGUAGAAGCCAAGUUCAUCACCAUGCAACGCUCUAUUAGCCGAGGUGCCAUGUCAUCUUCUAUCUACUUCAUAGUGGCCUCAGCUGGACUCCACCGCAUAACAUCUUGGUCUAGCCAGAUUAAUCAAGAGCUUCAAUCCGGGCCGGCUUUGGUUUCCAGGUGGAUCACAGUUACAAUCCCCAUUGCUUCCACCCACCUCAAUUAUCUACUAGGGGCUUCACAUUCUUCUUGAGGCGCUGAUAUUACUUUCUAAAUUAAAUGUUAUCAUGGUCGGAUGACUUACAAUCGUACAUGACUCUAUUCCCUUAAUGGACAGUACCAGAGACUGUUGCCUUAUUAGAAAUGUACAGAAGUUAUUUUUUUUCAAUAAACUAUUUUCUAUAUUAGUUUUGGGCUAAUCUAAUCCUGACCUGACAGCAUGAUAUUUAGUUUUACAACCCUCAAGAGACUCUGAGAAGGGAGUGGUGGCCAUCUGACCAACGGCAUUGCUGUGUGUGGUUAACCCCAGCUGCUCCUCAAGGUGCUCCAGCACUGACUUUUAGAUCCUGCUGAAACGGUCCACUAUCAGCCAGGCUCUCCAUGGAAAAGAAGGGCUGUUGUGGCACCAAAAUAGAUGAGUUGCCUGGGUAGCACCUCCUUUGUCCAAAAAGUUUAAUUUAACUCUGAAAAUCUUAGUGCAUUAAACUGACAACUAUGUACAAGAUCAAAGUAGUGCUAAAAAUAACAUAAUGUAGAACAAAAACACAAGAAAUAUAAAUUAACAAUAAGAAGAACACAAGAAGCUAAGUAAGCUAUUUACAUGGUCAGUUCCAAUGGCCAGGGAUAUUGAGAGCUCUUCCAGGGCACAAUUAAUAAUAUAAUAAUAAUCAAUCAUUUUGCUCUUUAUUUAGCCAGCUUACAUAUAAAACUUUAUUUGUUCAUCGAAAAUUGUGAAUAAUUCACCACAGGUUCAUGAAGGAUGUGCUUGAAAGGAUGCACAUAACUAUGCAAUGUUGGGUUGUAUUGGAGAGAGUCUCAGUCUUAAAUCAUAUUCCAUACACAGUCUGUGCCUGUAUAUAGUUUUCACGCUUGUGAGGGCAAGAAUCCACUCUCACAUAGGUACGUGGUUGCAAAGGGCAUCAGAGUCCUAACAGCGCAAUUUGCUACAUCAGGAUACUCUAAGUGCAGCCCAAUCCAGAAAUCUGGCACUGGCUUUUGGUAAAUACAAUUUUCACAGAACCGCUUGUUCCAAUUUCAAUGAGGCUCUUGUUCAUAUAUCGGUAAGUGAACUGGAGGCAGGGCAUGAAAGGGAUAUCAAAUCCAGUUGUUUGUGUCAUCCUUUUUGGGAAAGUACCUGCGUAAUUGCGCACCCAACUCGCUCAGGUGCUUCGCUAUGUCACAUUUGACAUUGUCCGUAAGCUUGAGUUCAUUUGCAUACAAAAAAUCAUACAAUGAUGGAAAGACCUGUGUGUUGUUCUUGUUAAUGCAGACAGAGAAGAGCUCCAACUUCUUAAUCUUAGCCUCAAUUUUGUCCCGCACAUUGAAUAUAGUUGCGGAGAGUCCCUGUAAUCCUAGAUUCAGAUCAUUCUGUCAAGAAAAAAAUCACCCAGAUAGGCCAGUCGUGUGAGAAACCCGUCAUCAUGCAAGCGGUCAGACAAGUGAAAAUUAUGGUCAAUAAAGAAAACUUUAAGCUCGUCUCUCAAUUCAAAAAAACGUGUCAAUACUUUGACCCUUGAUAACCAGCACACUUCUGUAUGUUGUAAAAGCAUUACAUGGUCACUGCCAGUAUCAUUGCAUAGUGCAGAAAAUACACGAGAGUUCAGGGGCCUUGCUUUAACGUUUUAUGGCUGCAUAGGCAGUAUUGAGUAGCUUGGAUGAAAAGGUGCCCAUUGUAAAUGGCCAGCUCCUCAGUCUCAGUUGAUAAUAUAUGCAUAUAAUUAUUAGUAUUGGACAGAAAACACUCUAAAUUUUCCAAAACUGUCAAAAUAUUGUCUGUGAGUACAACAGAACUGAUUUUGCAGGCAAAACCCUGAGGAAAAUCAAAACAGGAAGUGGCUUCUAUUUUCCAUGUUCCCAUAGCCUCCCUUUGCUGGAUUUAAAGGGAUAUGAACCAGAUUCCUUUUCCUAUCGCUUCCUCAAGGUGUCAACAGUCUUCAGACAUAGUUUCAGGCUUUUAUUUUGAAAAAUGGCCUUAGUUAUCUUUGUUUUCUAUAUUAUUUUGGUUAGGUCAGGGUGUGACAUGGGACAAAACAGACAAAACACAUAAAUCCCCCAAAAUGAAUCCCGGAAAAGAAGGUUACAAGGUAAGGGGACAUACAGAGAGAACGAGAGAGAGAGAAUAAGGAGAAUCCUCGCUGGGGAAAAGCUUUGGCCUUUGAAGUAGAAGUUACAGGUCUGUGAGAGCCAGAAAUCUUGCUUGUUUGUAGGUGACCAAAUACUUAUUUUCCACCAUAAUUUGCAAAUAAAUUCAUAAAAAAUCCUACAAUGUGAUUUUCUGGAUUUUUUCCCCAUUUUGUCUGUCAUAGUUGAAGUGUACAUAUGAUGAAAAUUACAGGCCUCUCUCAUCUUUUUAAUUUGGAGAACUUGCACAAUUGGUGGCUGACUAAAUACUUUUUUGCCCCAUUGUAUGUUACUGGCUGAAAAGGGUGGGGGGGUGUAUGAGGUUUCAUCCCAGAAUGACACAGCUCCAGACGGAUCAGUGACCAAGGCCCUGGCAGAGAUCUCUGGGGGAGAUAAUGCUCUAACAAAUUGGUUUGAUAGUGUGUUUGGGAAAUGAAUAAAUGUCAUGAUCACUGUGUUUUGGGCAACCUUCACCUGUGUGACCGUGUUAGUUUUGUGCGGAUGAUUCCGGUGUGAAAGGUUCUCAUUUCCAGGACUCUGGAGAAAUCGAUGAGACAACAGAUGGUGAGAUACGGGCCGAUUACGAGCUCUGACCAGUGGAAUGAUGAAUACAUGAUUCUAGACCUAGCAUAUGGAUCCGGAUCCUUCACAUACGAGGAGCCUAUGUUAAAUGAGACCAUUUUUUAUGUUUAGGUUCUCUUAUGUUUUGAUGUUUAGAAUGUUUAUUUGAUGAAGAUUAUAACGAAAAUCCUGAUAAGAAGUGUUAUGAUUCUGAUGUAGGCCUGGAACGGUCAAUGUAAUACAUAUGUUGGUCUUUGUUAGGUUGUAUUUGGAUAACAAGAGAUAGUUUUAAUAAAAAUAGAUGUGUGCUCUUUAAUAUUUUAAUAGAAUAUUCUAAUAAAAAUAGAGGUGUGAUUGGAUGUAUACUAUUUAGUCAUAGGGUGGAUAUGUUAUGGGAUUUUUAUGAAUACUGACUCAAUUAUGUAUACAUUUAGCUUAGAAUUAUAACUAAACAGAAUACUACUUAUAAUCAUAAAAUCAAAUCAAAUUUAUUUAUAUAACUGUCACGUUCUGACCUUUGAUUUCCUUUGUUUUGUAUAUAUUUAGUAUGGUCAGGGCGUGAGUUGGGUGGGCAGUCUAUGUUUGAUUUUCUAUUAUUUGGGAUUUCUAUGUUUCGGCCUAGUAUGGUUCUCAAUCAGAGGCAGGUGUCAUUAGUUGUCUCUGAUUGAGAAUCAUACUUAGGUAGCCUGGGUUGCACUGUUUGUUUGUGGGUGAUUGUCUAUGUUGAUUGCUUGUUUCAGCGCAGUUUGCAUUUAGCUUCACGGUUGUUCUUUCGUUUAUUGUUUUUGUAAAGGGUUUCAGAGUUCAGUGUUUUCUGUAUUAAAAUUAAUGAUGAACACAUACCACGCCGCAUUUUGGUCCUCCGAUCCAUCUCGCCUCUCCUCUUCAGAUGAAGAGGAGGA
ensembl:lncRNA